rnacentral:rRNA from 1 species
AUUGAACGCUGGCGGCAUGCUUUACACAUGCAAGUCGAACGGCAGCGCAGUCUUCGCCCUCUCUUCGGGUUGCCAACUGGUGGGUGAUUCAUCAGAACAUGCCCAUCUAUUUGUGCUUGGUGGGCAACAUCCGGAUUCAUACCCUAUUACCCCUUACGGCCAAAGGGGGGGAUCAUCGGACCUUCGGCCCUUGGACGAGCCGAUGGCCGAUUAGCUAGUUGGUGGGGUAAAGGCCUACCAAGGCGACGAUCUGUAGCUGGUCUGAGAGGAUGACCAGCCACACUGGAACUGAGACACGGCCCAGACUCCUACGGGAGGCAGCAGUGGGGAAUUUUGGACAAUGGGCGCAAGCCUGAUCCAGCAAUGCCGCGUGUGUGAUGAAGGCCUUCGGGUUGUAAAGCCCUUUUGUCGGGAACGAAAAGCACUGUGCUAAUACCACGGUGUGAUGACGGUACCCGAAGAAUAAGCACCGGCUAACUACGUG